rnacentral:SRP_RNA from 2 species
GGCGGGCCGCCCCGCAUCGCAUAGGUGGUAAACCUGGUCAGGUCCGGAAGGAAGCAGCCAUAGCUAUUCUUUGCAAGUGCCGGGGGUACGGCUCGCCACC